rnacentral:rRNA from 1 species
GUAGGGGCAGAGGGAAUUCCCGGUGUAGCGGUGAAAUGCGUAGAUAUCGGGAAGAACACCAGUGGCGAAGGCGCUCUGCUGGGCCAUCACUGACGCUCAUGGACGAAAGCCAGGGGAGCGAAAGGGAUUAGAUACCCCUGUAGUCCUGGCCGUAAACGAUGAACACUAGGUGUCGGGGGAAUCGACCCCCUCGGUGUCGUAGCCAACGCGUUAAGUGUUCCGCCUGGGGAGUACGCACGCAAGUGUGAAACUCAAAGGAAUUGACGGGGGCCCGCACAAGCGGUGGAGUAUGUGGUUUAAUUCGAUGCAACGCGAAGAACCUUACCAGGGUUUGACAUCCUGCGAAUCUCUUGGAAACGAGAGAGUGCCUUCGGGAACGCAGUGACAGGUGGUGCAUGGCUGUCGUCAGCUCGUGUCGUGAGAUGUUGGGUUAAGUCCCGCAACGAGCGCAACCCACGUCUUUAGUUGCCAGCAUUUAGUUGGGCACUCUAGAGAGACCGCCGGUGAUAAACCGGAGGAAGGUGUGGAUGACGUCAAGUCAUCAUGCCCCUUACAUCCUGGGCUACACACGUACUACAAUGCUACGGACAAAGGGCAGCAAGUUCGCGAGGACAAGCAAAUCCCAUAAACCGUGGCUCAGUUCAGAUCGUAGGCUGCAACUCGCCUACGUGAAGGAGGAAUCGCUAGUAAUCGCAGGUCAGCAUACUGCGGUGAAUACGUUCCCGGGCCUUGUACACACCGCCCGUCACACCAUGGAAGUUGGCCACGCCCGAAGCCGUUACUCCAACCCUUGUGGAGGAGGACGUCGAAGGUGGGGCUGAUGACUGGGGUGAAGUCGUAACAAGGUAGCCGUA